AUGGCUAGAAGUGACCCCAGGAAACUAAGGGGCAAGAUGUCUGCUUUUGCCUUCUUUGUGCAGACGUGCAGAGAAGAGCAUAAGAAAAAUCCAGAGGUCCCUGUCAAUUUUGCAGAAUUUUCCAAAAAGUGCUCUGAGAGGUGGAAGACAAUGUCUGGGAAAGAGAAGUCUAGGCUGGGCACGGCGGCUUACGCCUGUAAUCUCAGCACUUUGGGAGGGUGAGUUGGGUGGAUCACCUGAGGUAAGGAGUUUGAGACCAGCCUGGCCAACAUGGUGAAACCUCGUCUCUACUAAAAAUACAAAAAACUAGCCGGGCGUGUUGGUGGGCGCCUGUAAUCCCAGCUACUGGGGAGGCUGAGGCAGGAGAAUGGCUUGAACCCAGGAGGCAGAGGUUGCGGUGAGCUGAGAUCGUGCCACUGCACUCCAGCCUGGGCAAUAAGAGCAAAACUCCAUCUCAGAAAAAAAAAAAGAGAGAGAGAGUCUAAAUUCGAUUAAAUGGCAAAGGCGGAUAAAGUGCACUGUGAUAGAGAAAUGAAGGAUUAUGGACCAGCUAAGGGAGGCAAGAACGAUCCUAAUGCCCCCAAAAGGCCACUGUCUGGAUUCUUCCUGUUCUGUUCAGAAUUCUGCCCCAAGAUCAAAUCCACAAACCCUGGCAUCUCUAUUGGAGACGUGGCAAAAAAGCUGGGUGAGAUGUGGAAUAACUUAAAUGACAGUGAAAAGCAGCCUUAUGUCACUAAGGUGGCAAAGCUGAAGAAGUAUGAGAAGGAUGUUGCUGACUAUAAGUCGAAAGGAAAGUUGGACGGCACAAAAGGUCCUGCUAAAGUUGCCUGGGAAAAGAUGGAAGAAGAAGAUGAAGAAGAUGGGGAGGAAGAGAAGGAGGAUGAAUAA